rnacentral:rRNA from 1 species
GGCUCAGGAUGAACGCUAGCUACAGGCUUAACACAUGCAAGUCGAGGGGCAGCGGGAUUGAAGCUUGCUUCAAUUGCCGGCGACCGGCGCACGGGUGAGUAACGCGUAUCCAACCUUCCGUACACUCAGGGAUAGCCUUUCGAAAGAAAGGUUAAUACCUGAUGGUAUGAUGAGAUUGCAUGAUAGCAUCAUUAAAGAUUUAUCGGUGUACGAUGGGGAUGCGUUCCAUUAGGUAGUAGGCGGGGUAACGGCCCACCAAGGCGACGAUCAGUAGGGGUUCUGAGAGGAAGGUCCCCCACAUUGGAACUGAGACACGGUCCAAACUCCUACGGGAGGCAGCAGUGAGGAAUAUUGGUCAAUGGACGAGAGUCUGAACCAGCCAAGUAGCGUGCAGGAUGACGGCCCUAUGGGUUGUAAACUGCUUUUAUAAGGGAAUAAAGUGAGUCUCGUGAGACUUUUUGCAUGUACCUUAUGAAUAAGGACCGGCUAAUUCCGUG